ACAUGCCUACAACAUAGCAUUAAUGCACUGGAUCCCAUUAUAACUCCGCAAAUAAGUGUUCUCGGGCUAUAAUAUUACUGGGAUGGGUGACCACUCGAGAAGUCCUAGUGUUUUACAUGUC
rnacentral:rRNA from 1 species